rnacentral:rRNA from 1 species
GAUGAACGCUGGCGGCGUGCCUAAUACAUGCAAGUCGAGCGAACAGACGAGGAGCUUGCUCCUCUGACGUUAGCGGCGGACGGGUGAGUAACACGUGGAUAACCUACCUAUAAGACUGGGAUAACUUCGGGAAACCGGAGCUAAUACCGGAUAAUAUAUUGAACCGCAUGGUUCAAUAGUGAAAGACGGUUUUGCUGUCACUUAUAGAUGGAUCCGCGCCGCAUUAGCUAGUUGGUAAGGUAACGGCUUACCAAGGCAACGAUGCGUAGCCGACCUGAGAGGGUGAUCGGCCACACUGGAACUGAGGCACGGUCCAGACUCCUACGGGAGGCAGCAGUAGGGAAUCUUCCGUAAUGGGCGAAAGCCUGACGGAGCAACGCCGCGUGAGUGAUGAAGGUCUUUGGAUCGUAAAACUCUGUUAUUAGGGAAGAACAAAUGUGUAAGUAACUAUGCACGUCUUGACGGUACCUAAUCAGAAAGCCACGGCUAACUACGUGCCAGCCGCCGCCGUAA